rnacentral:rRNA from 1 species
GAAAGGCGCUUUUGCGCCACUGAUGGAUGGACCCGCGGUGCAUUAGCUAGUUGGUGAGGUAACGGCUCACCAAGGCCACGAUGCAUAGCCGACCUGAGAGGGUGAUCGGCCACACUGGGACUGAGACACGGCCCAGACUCCUACGGGAGGCAGCAGUAGGGAAUCUUCGGCAAUGGACGAAAGUCUGACCGAGCAACGCCGCGUGAGUGAGGAAGGUUUUCGGAUCGUAAAACUCUGUUGUUAGAGAAGAACAAGGAUGAGAGUAGAACGUUCAUCCCUUGACGGUAUCUAACCAGAAAGCCACGGCUAACUACGUGCCAGCAGCCGCGGUAAUACGUAGGUGGCAAGCGUUGUCCGGAUUUAUUGGGCGUAAAGCGAGCGCAGGCGGUUUCUUAAGUCUGAUGUGAAAGCCCCCGGCUCAACCGGGGAGGGUCAUUGGAAACUGGGAGACUUGAGUGCAGAAGAGGAGAGUGGAAUUCCAUGUGUAGCGGUGAAAUGCGUAGAUAUAUGGAGGAACACCAGUGGCGAAGGCGGCUCUCUGGUCUGUAACUGACGCUGAGGCUCGAAAGCGUGGGGAGCGAACAGGAUUAGAUACCCUGGUAGUCCACGCCGUAAACGAUGAGUGCUAAGUGUUGGAGGGUUUCCGCCCUUCA